UAUUAUUCUAAUUUCUCGACAAUUUGUGAAAACAACCAGACGACCCCUUCAAUGCAUCUUAAUAGUAUUUGUAAACUGUUUUAUUGAAAUAUUGUCCUGACCGGAUAUCGCUCCGAACAAAUUCUGUUAGAACUUUAUAAUAAUUUCUUAUAAUCUUUUGCAUAUAAUAAUUCCAUUCCAACUAAAUUUCACACCACGAUAUGUUACAUCAUACAAUUGCCUAAUAACUUGUUACGAAAUCUGUUUUUUCUUUUACCCGAACAUAAAAUUGCAGUUCACACACUGUAUUGUUACAAUUAGGUCCUUUUUUCCUUUUAUCUCUUUUUAUACCCCAAUAUGUAAUGGCACUAAAGAAUUUCUGUCCGAGGUAUAUGUUUGUACCAUCAUAUAUGAAUAUAUAUAUAUAUAGAAUUGUAUGAACUAUUCGUUUUUAUUCAAGCUUCGACGUCAUAAUAUCAGAUUGUGAAUAUAAUGACAUUUUUAUUAACAAUUAGCACAAUGUAUAUUUAAAGAAAGAUUGUAGCAAUGAUCCUCAUCCCAUCUCUGAAGAAAUAGGGCGCUUCCCUACGAAAUGCGUAAGACAAUACGAUCAAUCAAGAUACAGAUCCUGUCAGUAUACACCAGCACAAGAUUACAUCCAUCCAGGACCUUUGAUUAAAGGGACACUAUAGUCACCUGAACAACUUUAGCUUAAUGAAGCAGUUUUGGUGUAUAGAACAUGCCCCAGCAGCCUCACUGCUCAAUCCUCUGCCAUUUAGGAGUUAAAUCCCUUUGUUUAUGAACCCUAGUCACACCUCCCUGCAUGUGACUUGCACAGCCUUCCAUAAACACUUCCUGUAAAGAGAGCCCUAUUUAGGCUUUCUUUAUUGCAAGUUCUGUUUAAUUAAGAUUUUCUUAUCCCCUGCUAUGUUAAUAGCUUGCUAGACCCUGCAAGAGCCUCCUGUAUGUGAUUAAAGUUCAAUUUAGAGAUUGAGAUACAAUUAUUUAAGGUAAAUUACAUCGGUUUGAAAGUGAAACCAGUUUUUUUUUUUUUCAUGCAGGCUCUGUCAAUCAUAGCCAGGGGAGGUGUGGCUAGGGCUGCAUAAACAGAAACAAAGGGAUUUAACUCCUAAAUGACAGUGAAUUGAGCAGUGAAAUUGCAGGGGAAUGAUCUAUACACUAAAACCGCUUUAUUUAGCUAAAGUAAUUUAGGUGACUAUAGUGUUCCUUUAACCAGUGAACCGAGAACUGAGGUCUUUGCCGGGACGUACACACCGACCCACACGUCGCCCUCACCGGCAGUCGGAUUCCAGGAGGCAAUUUGCCAGUACAAUCUGCAUCCAUCCUAGCUCAAUGCGAGGGUCCAUGGACAUCUUUCACCUUUAUACUGUCCUGUAUUUUUUAUAUAUUUUUAAUCUUUUAUAAAUGUGUUUAAUAAACCGUUUUUAAAUUACAUAUCCAGUUUUUACCUUCCUUUUACCAUUGUCUACAAUCCACAGCGAUACAUUGUGUGUUUUGCUACAGCAUGCAGUUCCAUAUACUGUAUUGCUAAUCAUCUAAGAGUGCUUACUAUCUUUGCCUAUUGCAAAGUAUAGAAUUUGGAGCAAAGAUCAGCUACCCUGUAUAUGAUCAGGGAUAGAGAGAUUUUGCACUGCACAUAUAUUUGCUGCACAUCGAUUCAUGCAGUUAACUAUCUUUUUUAUAUAAUUCUUUUCCUGUCUGUUUUCUAAUCUGUCCUUUAUCCAUCUUCCUUUCUAUCAUUUUUACUCCAUUUCACUCUGUUACAUUUUUAUUCUCUUCCAAGUCUCAUAUUUAUUAUCGAUUCUUGUUUUUCUCUCUUAAAGGCACAGUACCUCUAUAGUACACUUAGUACCGUAUUAUCAGUAUCUACCGCUAUUACCCUGUACCACUGUGAUUUGAGCCAUUAUCACUAGUCAGCUCCUGGAUUUUAUACACCAUCCUUUUGAGUGUUUCAUUUGCUACACCUAAAAACCUAUAUUACAUUGUGUUAUGCAAUUUUAGAGGUGUGGAGAAGAGGUAUUCCCACAUAAGUGGGGUUUUUUUUUAGCUGCUUUUAUGCACAAGUUUUUUUAAGCGCUGAUCGACAGACAUGCUCCCUCAUUACGAGGAUCACCUGCUUGUUUUCAAACAGUGCAAUUUCCGUAAAGACAACAGGCCUCAGUUUAAUGUUUUGGGGAUAAGCUUUUCAAGUCAUUUUAUAUUUUUGGAUACACUUAAAAUGUUUUAAUAUAUUGCUGUAUUGAUAUAUUUUUUUAUGUAUGAUUAUAAUGUUAAUAUUUUGAUAUAAAAAAAUAAAUAAGACAUUGAUAUAAUCAAGGCCAUAAUGGAUUCCUGACACUAUUGACCUUUCUACUCGUGAGAAGACAUCUGAUGUAUCAGGACUCAGAUUCUAUUUAUCAAACACCAGAGGCUGUAAUUACACCAUUAGGACGCAUGUUAUCUAGAAGUCUACCUUCCCCUGUGUUGUUAUAUUCACAUUACUUCCAUGGAACAUUCCAGCUGCAUUCUGUUAGUACCGUUAUUCCAUCUGGAAGCGUACAUCUCUCUGGAAGCUUCUGAUGGAACACAAAGUAUUAGCUAAACAUGUGAAAACGAGGGAAAAUGUGUUUUUCAGUUUUGUUUCAUUUCAGUAAUUCCAAAAUUUCUUUAGUUGAGAAUGAUUUAUUAUCAAUUUGGAACAACCCGAAAUUUGUUUGGAACUUUUCAGAAAUUUGGAGUUUGGACGUCAUUUCCUAUAAGUCGCUAUUUAGCAGAUGGCUCCCUUUAUUCGGUACCUUAAUGUGAGAAUGCCUAUUUAAGGGUAUCAAAUUAAGACCUACGUUUAGAUUUUUGGGGGGAAAUUAGUUUUUUGUCCGGGACAUGACAAUUGCUG